rnacentral:rRNA from 1 species
CCCUUAGAUGUUCUGGGCCGCACGCGUGCUACACUGAGUAAAUCAAUGGGUAAGGGAACACGAAAGUGCAACCUAAUCUUGAAAUUUGCUCGUGAUGGGGAUCGACGGUUGCAAUUUUCCGUCGUGAACGAGGAAUACCUUGUAGGCGCGUGUCAUCAUCACGCGCCGAAUACGUCCCUGCCCUUUGUACACACCGCCCGUCGCUCCUACCGAUUGAGUGAUCCGGUGAGGCUCUGGGACCUGGACGGAAAGAGCGUUUCGCUUGUUCUGUUUGGGAAACUUGGUCGAACCUUAUCAUUGAGAGGAAGGAGAAGGCGUAACA